rnacentral:rRNA from 1 species
AUUGACCGCUGGCGGCAGGCCUAACACAUGCAAGUCGAACGAGAGGCGGACGGGUGAGUAAUGUCUGGGAAACUGCCUGAUGGCGGGGGAUAACUACUGGAAACGGUAGCUAAUCCCGCAUACCAUCAGAUGUGCCCAGAUGGGAUUAGCUUGUUGGUGGGGGAACGGCUCACCAAGGCGACGAUCCCUAGCUGGUCUGAGCGGAUGACCAGCCAGACUGGAACGGGGACACGGUCCAGGAUGCUACGGGAGGCAGCAGUGGGGAAUAUUGCACAAUGGGCGCAAGCCUGAUGCAGCCAUGCCGCGUGUAUGAAGAAGGCCUUCGGGUUGUAAAGUACUUUCAGCGGGGAGGCGUUACCCGCAGAAGAAGCACCGGCUAACUCCGUGCCAGCCGCCGCGGUAAUAC